rnacentral:rRNA from 1 species
GACGAACGCUGGCGGCGUGCUUAACACAUGCAAGUCGAACGGAAAGGCCCUGCUUUUGUGGGGUGCUCGAGUGGCGAACGGGUGAGUAACACGUAAGUAACCUGCCCUUGACUUUGGGAUAACUUCAGGAAACUGGGGCUAAUACCGGAUAGGAGCUCCUGCUGCAUGGUGGGGGUUGGAAAGUUUCGGCGGUUGGGGAUGGACUCGCGGCUUAUCAGCUUGUUGGUGGGGUAGUGGCUUACCAAGGCUUUGACGGGUAGCCGGCCUGAGAGGGUGACCGGCCACAUUGGGACUGAGAUACGGCCCAGACUCCUACGGGAGGCAGCAGUGGGGAAUAUUGCACAAUGGGCGGAAGCCUGAUGCAGCAACGCCGCGUGCGGGAUGACGGCCUUCGGGUUGUAAACCGCUUUCGCCUGUGACGAAGCGUGAGUGACGGUAAUGGGUAAAGAAGCACCGGCUAACUACGU